GACGAGGGUCCUUCGGGACUCGAGUGGCGAACGGGUGAGUAACACGUAGGGAACCUGCCCGUGCGACCGGGAGAACUUUCGGAAACGGAAGCUGAUACCGGAUAGGGACAGAGACGGCAUCGACUCUGUGUUAAAGGAGCUGCAAGGCUCCGCGCACGGAUGGACCUGCGGUGCAUUAGCUAGUUGGUGAGGUAACGGCCCACCAAGGCGACGAUGCAUAGCCGGCCUGAGAGGGCGGACGGCCACACUGGGACUGAGACACGGCCCAGACUCCUACGGGAGGCAGCAGUAGGGAAUUUUCGUCAAUGGGCGCAAGCCUGAACGAGCAAUGCCGCGUGAACGAGGAAGGUCUUCGGAUCGUAAAGUUCUGUUGAAGGGGAAAAAGAGCGGAGAGAGGAAAUGAACUCCGAUUGAUAUUACCCUUCGAGGAAGUCACGGCUAACUACGUGCCAGCAGCCGCGGUAAUACGUAGGUGGCGAGCGUUAUCCGGAAUGAUUGGGCGUAAAGGGUGCGUAGGCGGCCUGCUAAGUCUGGAGUGAAAGGUACCGGCUCAACCGGUAUAGGCUCUGGAAACUGGCGAGCUAGAGAGCAGGAGAGGGCGGUGGAACUCCAUGUGUAGCGGUAAAAUGCGUAGAUAUAUGGAAGAACACCAGUGGCGAAGGCGGCCGCCUGGCCUGUUACUGACGCUGAGGCACGAAAGCGUGGGGAGCAAAUAGGAUUAGAUACCCUAGUAGUCCACGCCGUAAACGAUGAGGACCAAGUGUUGGGGAAGACCCAGUGCUGCAGUUAACGCAGUGAGUCCUCCGCCUGGGGAGUAUGCACGCAAGUGUGAAACUCAAAGGAAUUGACGGGGGCC
rnacentral:rRNA from 1 species